GCCUGAUCCAGCCAUGCCGCGUGUGUGAAGAAGGCCUUCGGGUUGUAAAGCACUUUMGGCGGGGAGGAAGGCSUGCAGGUUAAUACCUUGGGCGAWUGACGUUACCCGCAGAAUAAGCACCGGCUAACUUCGUGCCAGCAGCCGCGGUAAUACGGAGGGUGCAAGCGUUAAUCGGAAUUACUGGGCGUAAAGCGCGCGCAGGCGGUUUGUUAAGUCAGAUGUGAAAUCCCCGGGCUCAACCUGGGAACUGCAUUUGAAACUGGCAAGCUAGAGUCUGGUAGAGGGGGGUGGAAUUCCGGUGUAGCGGUGAAAUGCGUAGAUAUCUGGAGGAACACCGGUGGCGAAGGCGGCCCCCUGGACCAAYACUGACGCUCAGGUGCGAAAGC
rnacentral:rRNA from 1 species